CAUUUUAAUAAUGAGAUUCUAAGGCGAAUGCAGCGCAACAUUACGUGGCCAGCUCCAGCUGGAAACGUUUCGAGAUGGGUUUUUUCAGUGCCACGAGGAACAGCUGCUCUUCUCAAGUUUAUGUAAAACGUUCGUCACGGCUCUUCUAACGAUUCACGCUCGUUGGCACUUCAAGCGCUUGCGUUGCGUCACUCCAAACGGGUCACCCGUUUCAAUGAAGCACGCGCCAACAGUUUAAAUUAUUCUUACGCCUUUUUUUCUUCUUUUUUUCUGCUUUUUGGAAAAUAAAUCGCGCACAUCUCUCCUUGGAGCGUAGGUUUAGUCAAAUAAUGAUAAAACAGGCCACGCGAUCGGUCUCAAACAAGCGUAUGCUGGAAAAGGAUGGCUAUAGCGCAAAAAAAUGCUUUAGAUUUAAUCCGCUCAAUCUGAAUUUCACACUUAUAUUUCGACGAAACUACUUUAAGCGUUUCGACGCUGUCCGAUGAUUUUUCUCAAUGUCAAGCUCGACAGCCGACAUUGACGAUAUAAACACGUUCGACUAAAAAUAAUCAAGCUGAAAUUGCGCUAAUUUGCUAUUCGCAGACUAGUUGCAAUGCUAAUUAGAAUUUGAAAGAGCGGUAUGACAAAGCGAGAAACUGGCUGUCGAUGAAAUGCCGAGCGGCAGUUUCCACUUGAAAAUAGUCACUCGUACAGAUUGGAAAGCUGCUAUAUUUUCAGCUCAACUACCAAACAUAUUCAAUGCACGCUCAUUUCGAAUUCCACGCGAAUGUAUCUCUCGCAUUGAUUUCUGAUGACAGGCGUUGAGGCGUGCGUGCGCCUUUGAGAAAGUCAGCAGAUUCACCGGCGAAGAUAACAAGUUUGAUUUACGAAAAAGCUACCGGGAGAAUGAAGACAUGAAAGCGGGCUCGCGAGAUGUGGUUCCGACCGGAGGUCUCUCAUUACCUGACUGUCACUAUAAUGGACGAGCGGACUUUUCCGGGAAUGGAUGUAAAUUACAUACGGAAAUCGAUAUCAAUGGUGCUUGUAACUGCGAAUUACGUAAUUAAGAAUUCGUUAUUGCCAGCAUCAUUGCUGUUUCACACUCUCUGACAUUGGUCGCAGCGGUGAAGUGCCUCGCUUAUGGAUUUCCAAAAAUACGUUUUUAUCUUUUGCGAACGAGUUUGCAUAGCCAUAUCAAAGCGAUGUUUAUUUUCUUGCGCGAGUUUCCUCCUUCUCGGGCGUUUUCCUCUUGCAAUUGGCAGUAUAAAAAUUACAAACCAUUCUGUAUUACUCAUUCGCAACGAUUCGUCGCAGUAACUUUGUACUAUUGCUCAUUGUAGCUUCUCAAAAUGAAUUACGGACUUUCGUCGCGAGUCAUCGUUAGCACGAUCGUCUUCUUGCUCGUCGUCGGCUCGGCGUUCCUCACCUGCGAGGCUUUUGUCUGCAGCUGUCCGCUGAUACCAGCGUCGAACGAAAAUGUCUGCGGCACCGACGGCCGAACUUACAAGAACGUACAAAUGCUGAAUUGCAUAAGUCACUGUCAACGAACAGGUGUAACGGUGGCGUACAAGGGACCUUGCUAGACGACAGGCAGCCGGUCGACUCGAGACGGCGCGCAAUUAGAAUUGUCGACAACGCAAAUCAAAUAAACUACGCCUGUGCGCGUAUAAAAAAAAAAAUAGAUUUGCAGCAGUGGAUUCGUUGCGCGCGCAAAAUCUCGCGACUGCGGCGAUUAGAGAAUCAGGCCAGGCCACGAGAAGCACAUAUAAGCUCAUGCGCACUUUCCAUUGGGUAACCGGUGGCUGCAUAUGCGCGAGUCCAUACAAAUAAGAAUAUGACGUGCGGCGCGUUCGCGAUGCGCGCGCCGUAGCACGCGAGGCACGAAUGAGCUUUCGACGGGAUAUGUACACGUCGAGCGCGGCGCGGCGUAAUAUUUUUCAUAUACGCUCGGUACUCCGUGCUCGAAACGACCGCCCAACCCAAUUCAUUGCCAAAUGUACACAUAGUUAUAUAUAUACAUACGCGUGCU